GUAUUUAUUUGUAGUGAUACUGUUUGAUCUUCUUUAAGUACGUUGAUUGGUAACUUUAUUAGACUUGGUAUCGGGUUCUUUGUGUUGAUUGAAGAGUGUACAAGUAGCUAUUUUUAUUGGAGAAAGGUAUAAUCACUAAAAUUUUAAAAUUCUUUAUUUAGUGGAGUUUGAAUAUCUUAGAUAUUUAUUUGUAGUGAAGUAAGUUCUGCGAUUAAUUAUACUGCGGUCGGAUGGGUGGAAUAUGCAUGUUGGAUGAGUUUAGAUAUCUUAAAUAUUCAUCCGUACUGAAAUAGGUUUUGCGAAUACAUGUAAUGCGGUCGGAUGGGUGGAUAAUUUUUGUACUAUUAAUGCUAUUUUGUUUGUUUUGUUUCUUAUUUUUGGCAUGUUUAAAAUUUUCGGGAACGUCCAGUGCUAGCUAGCGAGGGAGCUCAUAGUUCGAAUGAUUGAGGCUGCCGCUGCUUGUGUAACUAGUGAAGAAUCGCGCAGGCCAGCCAUCCGUGAGACUUUUGCAAUUUUGAAAGGUGAGGAACAACCCUUUAUAUCUAGGAGGAAGAAGUCUGGAAUUCUGGGUAAUGGAUGCGUUAUUGAUUGUAAUCACAACAAAUAAAUAGUGAGAUGAGGAGUCAUUUAGCUUUGGCCAUGUUAGGUGUCUCCGAGUUUGAGGAAGACGACCACCUUUGCUGUCGUUGAAAUAAGAAACAAACAAUCAAAACAACUUGAUUUUCCCCCUCUUUGUUUGCUCAUUGUUUGGUGCGGAAGGAGUGUAAUUAGAAAUUAGAAGCUUUAAAAUUGUAAAUAGAACAAUAGGUUUGUGCUUGUUUUGGGGUUGAAGAUGAAGGGAAUGGAAUUUGGGGUUGGUUUCUGGGUUUAUUUUUUUAGUUUGAUCGGCUGUAAUUUUUUUAGUUUAUAUUUAUAAUGAAAUAAUUGCCGACGCGUAUUUAAAAUUAUGGGUGGGCAACAUCCAAUCCAAUCCAUUUGAACCAAACCGAUCCAAUCUAAUUCAAUUAUAAAAAAUUGGAUAUCCAAUUAUAAUUGGAUUGAAUUUGAUUGGAUGUUGAAAGUUGCAUUCUAAUUGGAUUGGAUCAAUUAUUGAAUGUCAAUCUCAAAAUCUAAUUAAAAAUCGAUCUAAUUCAAUUACAUUUAUAUAUGUUAAAAAAUUAUUAAUAAUUAUUCAUAUAAUAAAAAAUAUAA